rnacentral:rRNA from 1 species
UCGCGGUUNNUAGCAACUCCGCAUUCACGGAGGCGAGUUGCAGCCUCCGAUCCUCACUGAGGCCGGGUUUGCUGGGAUUCGCUCCGGGUCGCCCCUUSGCUGCCCGUUGUCCCGACCAUUGUAGCGUGUGUGUAGCCCUGGACGUAAGAGCCGUGCUGACUUGACGUCAUCCCCACCUUCCUCCGGGUUGUACCCGGCGGUCUCGCCAGACAGGUAACUGGCGACGAGGGUUGCGCUCGUUGCGGGACUUAACCCAACACCUCACGGCACGAGCUGACGACAGCCAUGCAGCAUCUGUGCGCGCUCUCGCCUUGACGAGUCGUUCCCGUUUCCGGGUCCUACUUCGCGCAUGUCAAGCCCAGGUAAG